rnacentral:misc_RNA from 1 species
UCCGGUUUGUCACCGGCAGUCAUCCUAGAGUGCCCACCUUAAUGUGCUGGCAACUAAGAUCAAGGGUUGCGCUCGUUGCGGGACUUAACCCAACAUCUCACGACACGAGCUGACGACAACCAUGCACCACCUGUCUCCAAUGUUCCGAAGAAGGGCACUAUCUCUAGUGCUUGCAUCGGGAUGUCAAGACCUGGUAAGGUUCUUCGCGUUGCUUCGAAUUAAACCACAUACUCCACUGCUUGUGCGGGUCCCCGUCAAUUCCUUUGAGUUUCAGUCUUGCGACCGUACUCCCCAGGCGGAAUGCUUAAUGUGUUAACUUCGGCACCAAGGGUAUCGAAACCCCUAACACCUAGCAUUCAUCGUUUACGGCGUGGACUAC